GAUGAAGUUUGCAGGCUAUGGCUUGGAGACUCUUGAGACUGGGCUGCUCUGAUACGAGUAAGAUUCAAGGUCAGAUGCAACUGGCUAAUCUGAGGAGGCAUCUAAUGAGUUGCCAGCCUCCCAUAAUGUCCACAA